rnacentral:misc_RNA from 1 species
AUGCGAUAAGUAAUGUGAAUUGCAGAAUUCAGUGAAUCAUCGAAUCUUUGAACGCACCUUGCGCCCUUUGGUAUUCCGAAGGGCAUGCCUGUUUGAGUGUCAUGAAACCUCACCCCACUUGGGUUUUUGCCCGAGCGGUGGUGGAUUGGGUGCCUGCCGUCACUGGCUCACCUUAAAAGCAUAAGCAACCUUGGAUGUAAUACGUUUCAUCCUUCUGGGUGGCUGAUAACCCCACAUAACUCAUGAUCUGGCCUCAAAUCAGGUAGGGCUACCCGCUGAACUUAA